rnacentral:rRNA from 1 species
GACGAACGCUGGCGGCGUGCCUAAUACAUGCAAGUUGAGCGAUGAAGAUUGGUGCUUGCACCAAUUUGAAGAGCAGCGAACGGGUGAGUAACGCGUGGGGAAUCUGCCUUUGAGCGGGGGACAACAUUUGGAAACGAAUGCUAAUACCGCAUACAACUUUAAACAUAAGUUUUAAGUUUGAAAGAUGCAAUUGCAUCACUCAAAGAUGAUCCCGCGUUGUAUUAGCUAGUUGGUGAGGUAAAGGCUCACCAAGGCGAUGAUACAUAGCCGACCUGAGAGGGUGAUCGGCCACAUUGGGACUGAGACACGGCCCAAACUCCUACGGGAGGCAGCAGUAGGGAAUCUUCGGCAAUAGACGAAAGUCUGACCGAGCAACGCCGCGUGAGUGAAGAAGGUUUUCGGAUCGUAAAACUCUGUUGGUAGAGAAGAACGUUGGUGAGAGUGGAAAGCUCAUCAAGUGACGGUAACUACCCAGAAAGGGACGGCUAACUACGUG